UACAUCUUUUUCCUCGCGACGGAGUUUCGUUGGUCGAAAUUCUUUCCUAGGGUCCGUUGAUCCAUAUCAAAGACCAUAAAACCGACUAAAACGUACGUUGUCCAGAACCUUAACACAAGUUCAGUUGAACAAGUUGGGGUAGAGACGAAGGUUUAAGGGAGUUGAGAAAAAAAGUUCGGAGGGAGAAAGGCAGAGAGAAUGGAGGUUAUGAAGGAGGGAGUAUAAAGGAGAAGGAGUGUAAGGAUAGGGUUAGCAUCGGGAAUGAAAUGGCGGAGAUGUGGCUGCAGGAUUUUUAGAAAGUAACGGAGACUGUUUGCUUUGAAAAGAAAUUGCCGAAUAGGAGGCAGUGAUAUAGCGGAGAAUGGGGUUCCAUGAAAUGGGGUUGAGAAUGAUAGAGAUUACGGAAUGGAAUGUCGUUUCGUAUCUUGUAUAUAGAAAGUCGAAUCACUAGGACGAAGAGCGAAGGAUAAUUCACUAGAAAUUUUACAGCAGCAAACGCAAAAUUUUGGGUAUAAAAUAUAGUGAGAUAUGCUAGAACGAAAGAUAAAGAACAGAUGAAUAUUACAAUUUUUAUCAACAAAAUCAGGAUUUCAACAUAACAAUUACAGUUUUUUUCGGUUUUUUAUGAUUUUUAUUAAGAAACGUUUGUUCAUAAUUUAACAUGUUCAGUACAUGAAAAUGAAAUUAACUUCGUAUUACUGUUAUACUGCUUGUACUGAUUAUUUCUAAAUACACAUACAUAUGCAAUUGUAAAACGUCAAAUGUAUGAUCCAUACAAAAAGAAGAAUCUCCAUAUUCAGUAAUCGAAUUUCUUUAUUCAAUUUGAAUCAUAGGUCAUAUCCGUAAGUCAUAGGCAAUUGUCAAUCAUUUACGUUACAUUAACCAAUUAUCAAUUAUAAAUAUUCUGUUCGUUAUAUUGGCUGAAAUUAAAAGAUCGGAAAAUGACUGAUUUGUCACCGUUGAUAACCUUGUACAUUCAUCACAAUGAAUUUUUGAAUGAUCUCGUGUAAACUUAUGCAGUGGAAAAUAAAAAUAUGUGUAAAAUUGCAAUUCACUCUUUUCGCAGAUAAAAAAUAUCGCAACAAUUUAUAUAUUACACAAUGUGUGAUAUAUAACUACUAACGGAAUCAUAACGUCAUUAUUUAUAUAAAUUUAUUUAUAAUUUACAAUUUAUGGAAGUAUAUUGCUCGCAAGAAAAAAGUUGAUACAUUCAGAAUAUGUUUUGUCCAAGCCAUAAAAGACAGUAUCACAUCCAUGUAACAUAAUUUACAUCUUACAAUAUUGUUUCUGUGACAAUUACAUAAUUAACUGUUAACGUCUUUGCAUUUAUAACGAAAUGAUAUAUGUGCCACAAAUUAAAGGAGUCAUCAGUCGAAAUGCAAUGACAUUGAAAAUUUAAUUCUUUGACUUCUUUAGAAUCCUAGCACUCUUCUCAGAUAACGUACAAUUUGCUAUGGGCGCUAUAACUACAAUAUUUCAGUUAUUGUAUCUUUUCACUUCUUGUUUAACUUUUUACUAUAUACAAUUUACUAUAUAACAAUUUACUAUAUAAAAUAAAUUAACUUUUUAUUUCAUUAUUUAUAAGCAUUAUUUUAUUCAGAAUAAUGAAAUGAUCGGAAGAAGGACAACGAUACCAAUCGAUAUUAGACUAUUCGUGCGUUAAUUCGAUAGUGAUCAAGGAUCAUAGAGAUUUUCUAAUGGUAUGAAGAUAAGGAAAGAUUACGUACCAAACAAACGUGUCGCGUGAUUACAUAAAGCUAAUAGCAUUUACGUAAUUCGCCUAAUAAAAUACUUUUCUAUGUUUACAUGCGACACACUGCCUACAUCGAAAUAUAUAUAGCCAUAGUUCUAAAAUUUCAAUCGAUCAUUUCGUCGAUUGGAUAUAAUUUAUUCUCGACUUAUUCACGAAGUAGAUACCGAAUAUUAUAUAAGAUCUUGAUGAAAUAACCGAAUGAAUGAUGAUAUAAUGAUCAAAUGGAUAACCAAUUUAGCGGUCACAGAAAUUCGUAAACAGAUGAAUGUACGAAUUAUGUCGAAUUGAAUAGAAACGUGAACGAAUACAUUCUUAGACUAUUUAUAAAUGCACGGACAUGCACGGCUAAAUGUUUAGAAACUCAUGUUCUAUUCUAAUUCACGUUUAAUCAAUACCAUUUAUCACAAUAAUAUUACAUAUUUAUAAUUUUUUAAUAUUUUGUCACAUAUAUCUUCCAGACAUUAUCAUUCUAGUAUCAGUGAAAGAAAUGAUAGAUACAACAACGUUCGACAUUUUAUCAAUUUUCCAUUGUACGUGAUCGGUCAAUGUCAACUCUUUAUCUUUUAUAUUUAUAGUGUCUAUCCUCGACCUAGCAAGAAAACGUUCUCGUGUGUAACUUUAAUUAUUUGAUUAGCCACUGGUACCUGCAGCUCGAAAAGUUAAAGCUAAUAAUAUCCAGCUUCAUGAAUUGAUAUCAGUUAUAAAUGAAUAUAAGAAAAACAGAAUAAGAAUAAAUGGAGAUAUGACAAGAAUUCAAUAUAUAAUGCUAUAUAUGAAAACCUGUAAAAAAAUUUAUAAAAUGUAUAUUUACAACCAUCUAAGUUUCUUUACAUAUCACUAAAGAAAAUAUUCGAUAUUAGGAGCAACCUACACACAUGUAAUGUACGUACCUGUAAGUAUAUUAUAAAAUCGCAUAGAUGAUUGUAAUUGAAGUGAUAUGUUAAAAAUAAACAGGCAUGGUUUUAUCUCGAUAAAAAUUAACAUUAAUUUCUUUUUACAGUGACAACAAUAGUCUACGUGUAUCGUAAAGAUAACAAAUCUGCCAAAUAUUCCACCAACUGGUUAUUUUGGACAGUUCUCAUAUUAAAGAUAAUUUAUAAAUGUUAAAUGUAUAAAAAAAAGGAUAUUGUCUUAAAAAUUCUUCGAAUAGGAUUUGAAUUUGCAAUAGACUGCAUAACAGUACGGCUAGCAUCUUACAGAUCACGCCACUGUCAUUUCAGUUACAAUCACAGUUUCACUUUAGAAAAUAAGAUUUUAAUAUUAACUUUUUCGUAACGUAUAAAAUUUUACGAUAUUUAUGCGUAUAGGUUGUAUUAAAUACCACUAAUUACGUAACGUAGUUGUUUAUACUAAUAUUUAUCCACAAAAUAUUGUGAAGCCAGAAAUAAAAAAGAAGGCUUUACGAAAAUAAAAUAGUUAUUUUUCAUAUCACCUAUCGUAAAUCUUUCGUUAUUUUAUAACACUUAUAACUGAGAGACUUAAAAGUUUAGAAAUCUUAUACAUUAUUGAUUAAUAUUAUUAACUUCAAUUCGUCAGACUCUACUCCUGAUUCACUCAUAACCUAACUAUUGUUACGAUUAGUUUCAGUUUUCCAAACGUUAUUAUUGUGCAAAAACUCAUUAAAAAGAUUAAGAUGUGUAAGAGUUGUGACUGCACUCCUUGUAACAUUAUACACUAUAACAUUUAAUUCGCAAAAAUUCGAAUUAUAGUAAUAUUUGAAUCAAACCACAAGCACGUGAACUGGUAAUCUAAUCUAAAGUGACCCUGAAUAUGUCUUAAUAUUAAAUGUGUAAAGUUAAAACCUAGAUAUAUUGUGGAGUUAUCAAUGACUUUUGUUCCUUAGAUUUCCUGCAAAAUCUUACGCAAAACUGCUCCCCAUUAAUAUUCGAUAUCUGACAAUGAUAAAACUUUAGAUAAUAUUUAGUUGUAUUAAAUAUACAUGAUAAAAAGUUAGAAUUAAUUUCGUCUGAUUUGAAGUUACACAUAAAAACCAGGAAAGGAAAAAACGGAUUUACAUGUAAUUGUAUUUUAAUUAUAAACUACGUAAAUGCGCGUGGAAUAUUAGAAAAACAUUUGUAGAUAUGUGCAUAUGCAUGGUUCUUUUUGUUACAAUUUUCUAUUGCCAUUGAAAACAUUAAAAUUAGCUACUGCUACAAAUACGUAUAGAAUUUGGUAACAAAAUGCAGUGGUACAAUGUUAAUCCAAAGAAAAAUUGUAUGAAAUAUAAAUCGAGUUUAUAGAAAGGAUUAAAUACCCUACAUUUCAUAAUAACGCCCAAUAGAUACAUAGUAUAAAAAAUACACAUUAUACACACAUAAGUAUUAUGUUUCGUUCAAUCAUCCAUGAUAUCUGUAUCUGUUCUAGGAGACGAAUUUCUGAAUGAAUGAAUAACAAUCGUAAAUCGUUCUAACUGCAACGAGCAAUAAGAAUCAUAAAAGGAGGUAAAAAAGGAAUUAAUGUUUACCAAGAUUUUCCGAAUUGCGCGGGAAAUUCAAGUAGUAUCAGAGUAUAAAGUAGUAUAGGCAGAAUAAACGCCAACAAGCGCAGAACCGCUUCGAUAAUAGUGAGUUUCUGCUUGAUAGAGGGACACCUAAAAUCAGACACGUUGCGACGCCCCUCGAACUACGGCUCAGCUGAGAUGGUCUGAGCCAAUCACGCUGCGCAUUGCUGCUCUCGCCACUUCAAACCAGCGAAUGGUGUUCGUUGAAAUACGUGCGGCUGGUCGCGCACCACACUAGAAUAGUAUCGACGUGUUCCUGCACCGUGUACUAGAAUACAUAUACCUCGUGGAACUCGCAAUCCGCAACGGCCACGUGUUUAUGUGGUUGGCAGAAUACGUGUGAGGUGAGCACCAUACGCUUUGAGAACGGGAAAACGUGAAUUUACCGGGCCGAACAAUCGAGAAAAAUGAAUCGAGAGCCGGAGAAGGGAGAACAAACUGAUUCUCCGUUCGAAGCGAGUCGAAUUAUACCGGAAGACUGAUUUUCGAACGGUGAAUGCAAACGUAACACGCUCUGAAUCGUACGGAAGACACGCUCAAUCGAUGAACCUACAUAGAACAACCUUGAAUAUGAAACUAAGAAGAUUUAGGUUCAGAAGAAGAAUUUCUAAUAUUUCGAGUAUAUAUGAAAGAGUUCUAAGGAAAUUAUGGCUAAAAGAGUGAGAGAUUGGAACAUAUGAAUUCCAUUACCGCAAAAGAUGAUAUAAAUAUAAGCCGCACGUAUAGUCGACAGAAACUGUAAGAUGUUAAAUCUUAGUAGAGUUUCUUAGAGACAAUUUCGCAAUUGUAUAUUAAUUGUUUUUGCUAUAUAAUGAAUCAAUCGUAUCUACUAACACUUUAAAACCAUGAAUGAUAUGUGAAUAAAACUCACGAAGUUCGUGAAAGAUAUUAGAGAUAUUGAUCUCCAGAAAGAUUAAAAAAGAAAUGAAACAAAAAGAAUUAUAUCGUGGACUUAGCAUUCGCAUUCAAUAAUAUUGCUCAAAGUGGAAGUAAUUUAAUCUACGAUAUCAGCGUGCGGCACUCAUCAACCAUACAUAUUACGUCUUGCGUUUGGGUUGGCAGGUGUAGAAAUCGUUAACACGUAACCGUAGUUUUAUUCGAGGUUCCCACAGGUAUCUGAGUUUAUGCCUUUGGCUCGGAGAAUGAUUUUGCUUCGACUAUUGCUUUUUCAGUUAUAUGUGAACAAGAUAAAAUAUAUUAUUUGUUUCUUUAUCUUUCUUUAUACUUCUAUUACCAAAUAUUACUUAUAUCUCUAUAAUUCUACAUUACAAAAAUAAAAAAGCCUGGAACUUUAUGAAACAUUA